CGGCCCAGACUCCUACGGGAGGCAGCAGUAGGGAAUCUUCCGCAAUGGACGAAAGUCUGACGGAGCAACGCCGCGUGAGUGAUGAAGGUUUCGGAUCGUAAAGCUCUGUUGUUAGGGAAGAACAAGUGCAAGAGUAACUGCUUGCACCUUGACGGUACCUAACCAGAAAGCCACGGCUAACUACGUGCCAGCAGCCGCGGUAA
rnacentral:rRNA from 1 species